rnacentral:rRNA from 1 species
CCUACGGGAGGCAGCAGUCGGAAAUCAUGCACCAGGGAGGAAUGCGUGAUACAGCAAUACAGCGUGAAUCAAGAAGGCCUCGUGGAGGUAAAGCAGUUUUGCCCGGAAAGAAAUCCUUCUCUUUAAUACGAAGAGAUGAUGACGGUCCCGGAAGAAUAAGCGCCGGCUAAUUACGUGCCAGCAGCCGCGGUAAUAAGUAGGGAACAAGUGUUCCCCCCCCCCCCCUGGGCGUAAAGCGUGAGCAGGCGGUUCUAUAACACAGUUGUGAAAUCCCCGGGCUUAACGUGGAGACUGCGUUUGAGACCAAGGUCUAGAGGGGACAGAGGGGGGUAAAAUUCGGUGGUGUAGGUUAAAAAUGUGUAGAUCGGAGGAAAAACCCCCAUGGAAAAGGCAGCCCUGGGCCCCAACUCUCACGCUAGGCAAAAAGCGGGGGAGCAAACAGUUUUAGACCCCGGGGAGCCCACGCGGUCACGUUCUUUUUUUGGUUCCCCUCCUUGUCCUUCUUAGCGUUAAGUUACCGCCGGCAAGCGUCGCAGAU